ACAACGGUGGGAGCGGCAAUAUCGACGAGUUCAACUGCUGCAAGGUGUACAGCGGAAGGUAAGGGAGAGUGUGAUCUAUGGAGACAGAGAAGAGGACCAAAAAAAAAGAAGUAGGAGGCCAAUGAGUAGGCAGCGAAGGAUCCUUGAAGGUAUGGGAGAGAAAAUGAUGUGGCGGUGAUGACAGAGGAGAGAGGGAUCGCCCUAUUGUACGAAAAAAUAGAGAAGGGAAACAACCGAUUUAGUUUAAAGGGAAAGGAAGAUGGAUGAUUCGGUUUGGAGAAGGUAAGAGUGGUUCAGAGAAGUAGGACGGAUCGGUUAAGAAAAGAAAAAGGUAAAGGAGGGGAUAGGAACGGUUCAAUUCAGAAAGAUGGUUCGGUUCAGAGGAGGGAGAGAUGAAAGUGAAGGAGAGACCGUCACAUGGCAAAAUUAUUGAUAUAAAUUAAUAGAUAAUAGAUUAGUUUUUGUAGAAAAGAAAACAAAAAAGGAGAUAGAAGGCGUGAAUUCUU
rnacentral:lncRNA from 1 species